GACGAACGCUGGCGGCGUGCUUAACACAUGCAAGUCGAACGGAAAGGCCCUGCUUUUGUGGGGUGCUCGAGUGGCGAACGGGUGAGUAACACGUGAGUAACCUGCCCUUGACUUUGGGAUAACUUCAGGAAACUGGGGCUAAUACCGGAUAGGAGCUCCUGCUGCAUGGUGGGGGUUGGAAAGUUUCGGCGGUUGGGGAUGGACUCGCGGCUUAUCAGCUUGUUGGUGGGGUAGUGGCUUACCAAGGCUUUGACGGGUAGCCGGCCUGAGAGGGUGACCGGCCACAUUGGGACUGAGAUACGGCCCAGACUCCUACGGGAGGCAACAGUGGGGAAUAUUGCACAAUGGGCGGAAGCCUGAUGCAGCAACGCCGCGUGCGGGAUGCCGGCCUUCGGGUUGUAAACCGCUUUCGCCUGUGACGAAGCGUGAGUGACGGUAAUGGGUAAAGAAGCACCGGCUAACUACGUG
rnacentral:rRNA from 1 species